GCAUUGCUGGUUUAGUGGUAAAAUUCUCCGUUGCCAUCGGGGAGCCCUGGGUUCGAUUCCCAGGCAAUGCA